rnacentral:rRNA from 1 species
GAUGAACGCUGGCGGCGUGCUUAACACAUGCAAGUCGAACGUGAAAGUCCUUCGGGAUGAGUAAAGUGGCGCACGGGUGAGUAACGCGUGGAUAAUCUACCUUCAAGAUGGGGAUAACGGCUGGAAACGGUCGCUAAUACCGAAUAAGCUGUAGGUUUUGAAUUUACGGUAAAGAUGGCCUCUGCAUGCAAGCUAUCGCUUGAAGAUGAGUCCGCGUCCCAUUAGCUGGUUGGCGGGGUAACGGCCCACCAAGGCGACGAUGGGUAGCCGGUCUGAGAGGAUGAUCGGCCACACUGGGACUGGAACACGGCCCAG